rnacentral:rRNA from 1 species
GCGCCGGCCAACUCCGUGCCAGCAGCCGCGGUAAUACGGAGGGCGC